GAAAUGCUCCCUCCGUCUUAAAAUUCUUGUCUUAAAUUUAUCUGGAUACGAAUGUAUGAUUCUUGUCUUAGAUUUGUCUAGAUACGGAUGUACGUAUCUAGACAAAUUUAAGACAAGAAUUUUGAAACAGAGGGAGCAUGCG
rnacentral:pre_miRNA from 1 species